GUAGUAUAGGUGGAAGUGCGUACGGCUUUGAACCGUGCAGCCCAGGUUCGACUCCUGG
rnacentral:tRNA from 12 species